rnacentral:rRNA from 1 species
AACGAACGCUGGCGGCAUGCCUAACACAUGCAAGUCGAACGAGACCGUCGGGUCUAUUGGCGCACGGGUGCGUAACGCGGGGGAACCUGCCCUUAGGUUCGGAAUAACUCCCCGAAAGGGGUGCUAAUACCGGUUAAUGUCUUCGGACCAAAGAGGUAUCGCUGUUGGAUGGGCCCGCGUUGGAUUAGCUAGUUGGUAGGGGAAAAGCAUACCAAGGCGACGAUGCAUAGCUGGUAUGAGAGGAUGAUCAGCCACGCUGGGGAUGCGACACGGACCAGAAUGCUACGGGAGGCAGCAGUGGGGAAUAUUGGACAAUGGGCGAAAGCCUGAUCAAGCAAUGUCGGGUGAGUGAUGAAGGCCUUAGGGUUGUAAAGCUCUUUUACCCGGGAUGAUAAUGACAGUACCGGGAGAAUAAGCUCCGGCUAACUACGUG